rnacentral:misc_RNA from 1 species
GAUGAAGAACGUAGUGAAAUGCGAUAAGUAAUGCGAAUUGCAGAAUCCGUGAGUCAUCGAAUCUUUGAACGCACAUUGCGCCCCUUGGUAUUCCGAGGGGCAUGCCUGUUCGAGCGUCAUUAUAACCCCUCAAGCUCGGCUUGGUGUUGGGGCCUGCCGCACGGGCAGCCCUUAAAAUCAGUGGCGGUGCCAUCUGGCUCUAAGCGUAGUAAUUCUUCUCGCUAUAGAGUCCCGGUGGAUGCUUGCCAUUAACCCCCAAUUUCAAUGGUUGACCUCGGAUCAGGUAGGGAUACCCGCUGAACUUAAGCAUAUCAAUAAGCGGAGGA